UACGGAGGGUGCGAGCGUUGUCCGGAAUUAUUGGGCGUAAAGAGCUCGUAGGCGGUCUGUCGCGUCUGCUGUGAAAACUCAGGGCUUAACCCUGAGCUUGCAGUGGGUACGGGCAGACUAGAGUGCGGUAGGGGAAACUGGAAUUCCUGGUGUAGCGGUGAAAUGCGCAGAUAUCAGGAGGAACACCGGUGGCGAAGGCAGGUCUCCGGCAGUUACUGACUGCUGAGGAGCGAAAGCAUG
rnacentral:rRNA from 1 species